CCGGCAGCAGCCGGGAAGACGCAAGGAGCCCGGGCAGAGCCACCCCCGCCGCCCCCGCCGGCCCGCAUCCGGGGCUGGGGGCCGCUGCUCGGCCGGGGGCAGCCCUGCCCGCCCCUCUGCCCGCCCGCCCGCCAGCGGGGGGGGUGGCCCCCCGCCGCCCGCUUCUCCCGGGGACCGCCGUCCUGCCCUCGGCACGGCAGCCAGACUCCCGGCCGCCCUGCCCCGGCCCUGACCGCACCCUGGAGCGGACGGACGGACAGGUGGAUGGACGGACGGAUGGAUGGCCGGCAUCCCCGACGGAGGGAUGUUUCUGUCUUUGGUUAUCUAGCUGUAUGAGUGUUGUGGAGCCAUCAUAAAGCUAGAUAACCGAAAGUAGAAAUGACUUCCAGACCUGCUCGCCCGGGGGAAGCGGCCGCGCCAGGACCGGCGGUGCAGAGACGGCCCGACCCGCCGCCCUCGGGGCUCCAGACAUGACUGCAAGUUCGUGGAGUGGGAUGCCUUGAGAAGGGCUGGGACGUCUCCACCUGAGCAAGGAGAGAUCCCAGCAAGUAGAGAAGGGACUUUUCAAUCCUGUGAGCUCCUUCUUGCAGUUGGCUGCCACCUGCCCAGACUUGCCGUCUGAUGUCUCUGGGUUUCUCCAGGAGGGCCCUGACCUGCUUCUCCGAUGGCCCCAGAGAAGAGGCAGCUUUGGCUUAUGGACACAGAGGGUUUCUGCAUCACUUCGAAUCACGCCGGUCCAGUCGUGGGGAGGGAGCCAGGGCAACACGGGGAGCCAGGGAUCAUCCCACAUCACUCCUGUAUGUUGUCUUCAGUGCCCUAAACACCCCAGAGCAUGACCACUGCACUCAGGCCGAGAGAUACGAGUGAGCCACUCUCUCACCUGCCAAAAUACUGGGUGCGUGAUGGUUGGAGGGAGCUUUUAAUACUGGGCUUUGCUCAUGGAGCAGAACUUGGCCCUUGCUGCUUUUCACCCCCGGUUGUGCAGUGCUGCAGGAGCACAGCCAUCCUGACAGUGCUGUGCUCAGGGCCCAGAGGACCGUGAGUCUGUCCAGGCCCAGCAGCCCGGCUGCUGUUUUAUUGCACCCUCUCUGUUCCUGUAAGAGAAACAUUACUGGCUGUAAUUCUCUCCCAUUAAAAUCCCCCCCACCCCAUGCACUGUUGGAAAUAAACUCUCCCUUUUGCAAAA